GAGUUUGAUCAUGGCUCAGAUUGAACGCUGGCGGCAUGCCUUACACAUUCAAGUCGAGCGGCAGCGCGGGGGCAACCCUGGCGGCGAGCGGCGAACGGGUGAGUAAUACAUCGGAACGUGUCCUGUCGUGGGGGAUAACCAGUCGAAAGAUUGGCUAAUACCGCAUGACCUCGUAAGAGAAAAGCGGGGGACCGUAAGGCCUCGCGCGACUGGAGCGGCCGAUGUCGGAUUAGCUAGUUGGCGGGGUAAAAGCCCACCAAGGCGACGAUCCGUAGCUGGUUUGAGAGAACGACCAGCCACACUGGGACUGAGACACGGCCCAGACUCCUACGGGAGGCAGCAGUAGGGAAUUUUUGGACAAUGGGGGCAACCCUGAUCCAGCCAUGCCGCGUGUGUGAAGAA
rnacentral:rRNA from 1 species